AACGAACGCUGGCGGCAUGCCUAACACAUGCAAGUCGAACGAGACCUUCGGGUCUAGUGGCGUACGGGUGCGUAACGCGUGGGAAUCUGCCCUUGGGUUCGGAAUAACUCAGAGAAAUUUGAGCUAAUACCGGAUGAUGACGUAAGUCCAAAGAUUUAUCGCCCAAGGAUGAGCCCGCGUAAGAUUAGCUUGUUGGUAGGGUAAUGGCCUACCAAGGCGACGAUCUUUAGCUGGUCUGAGAGGAUGAUCAGCCACACUGGGACUGAGACACGGCCCAGACUCCUACGGGAGGCAGCAGUGGGGAAUAUUGGACAAUGGGCGAAAGCCUGAUCCAGCAAUGCCGCGUGAGUGAUGAAGGCCUUAGGGUUGUAAAGCUCUUUUACCAGGGAUGAUAAUGACAGUACCUGGAGAAUAAGCUCCGGCUAACUCCGUG
rnacentral:rRNA from 1 species